CAGACACCCGAUCUUGCAAGUCUCUCUUCCGCUGUUCUCCGUGUCUCUGAGUCCAUUCUUUGGGUUUGAAGAGAUUAGAGCACUGGGCUUCCGUCCAGGGAUGCUAAGAGGAUGGGGGUGCAGCCCUCUGGAAACUGCAGUGCUGAGGGUUCUCCUGGCAAGGUAAGCAGGAACCGGCAGCGCAGGCGAGAGGUAGCCGCCCAUCUGCAAGCAUGGAGAGGCGUCUCCGAGAGUGAAAGGCGUGUGAGGAAGGUCGGCGAUGGGGACCCAGGUGCCCUGGCCCCGCCCUGCCCAGAACAGCCCCCAUGGCACAGGCUCAGCGGCAGCAGAAGAGCCCCAGACCCUAAAAGCACCCACCGCUCUGCCCUGCCUCGGGCCUUUUGUCCAGUGGUCCAUGAGCUCUGGAGAUGGGCCGGCUCGCGGGGUGAAUUAAUGAGAAGGUGAGAGCAGCGUGUGUCAUGUCUUGGGGACAAAUCUGAGCCAUAAAGGAACAAGGUCCUUGUAAAAAAGGAUAGGCUACUUGGGAAUUGGGUUGUUAACGCAUUAGCAUCUUUAUUUGGCCCAUAUGAAGUGUGUGAAAUGAAGGUGGCAGUAAACAGGAAUUUAUUUUUCGAAGUGGUCUUGGCAGAACAGCAUAAGGUGCUUCUCCCGCGGCCGGGAAGGCCCCCCUGCCCACAUAUGCACACCCCUGCUCUCCCCGGCAGCCUUACCUGGCCUGCCCAGCAUGAAUAUACUCCUUCCUCCUGUUUCCACCCCCAUAGUGGCCGAGAGUGAGGCUGUGUCCCAUGGACUCACUGAAUCUCAGCACAUACUAGGUGGCCACCCUCAUUAUCCCCAUUUGCAGAUUGAGAAAACCAAGGCCCAGGAGGGAGGGAGCUUUCCACUGUCACCCAGAGAAGUACCUGACCCCACCCACCACACCAUCCCCUGCCUCUCCUCUUUGCUGACACCCCCAGCCACCCUGUCCCCUGCCUGUCCUCUCCGCUGACCCCACCCGCCACUUCGUCCCCUUCUCCACUGACCCCACCCACUACCCCAUCCCCCUCUCCGCUGACCCCACCCGCCACCCCAUCCCCUGCCUCUCCCCUCCACUGACCCCACCCACCACCCCAUUGCCCUUUCCGCUGACCCCACCCGCCACCCUGUCCCCUGCCUCUCCCCUCUGCUGACCCCACCCACCACCCCGUCCCCCUCUCCGCUGAUCCCAGCCGCCACUCCGUCCCCUGCCUCUCCUCUCCACUGAUCCCACCCGCCACCCCAUCCCCUGCCUCUCCUCUCCGCUGACCCCACCCACCACCCGAUCGCCCUCUCCACUGAUCCCACCCGCCACCCCAUCACUCUCUCCACUGAUCCCACCCACCACCCCGUCCCCUGCCUCUCCUCUCCGCUGCACCUGAAUUUCCACACUGCAUGUCUCGUGGAAGAUCCCUGGGGCACAAGCCCCGUGUCCUCUUCUGGCAAGAACCACUCAGAAUCUCAAAAGACGGUCGCUUACUGAGCACCUGCCCUCCCUUGGGCUCUAUGUUGGCUUUUUGUAAAAUUGUGAUAAAAUGCACAUGACAUAAAUCUACCAUCUUCGCCAUUUUAAGUGUACAGCUCCGUGGCACCAAACACACUCACAUCGCUGUGCAGCCAUCACCACCACCCACCUCCAGAACGUCUUCAUCUUUCCGAACCAACACUCUGUCCCAUCAAACACAAGACCCCAUUCCCCUCUCCCCAGCCCCUGGCACCCACUUCUCUACUUUCUGUGUCUGUGAAUCUGCCUACUCUGGGCACCUCGCAGAAUGGGAGUCGCGCAGUAUUUGUCCUUUUGUGUCUGGAUUGGUUUACCAUGGUGUCUUCACAGUCUGUUCGCGUCGAAGUGUAUGCAUCAGAAUUCCCUUCCCUUCCAAGGCCCAC
rnacentral:lncRNA from 10 species